rnacentral:rRNA from 1 species
CAGAACUUAAAGGAAUUGACGGGGGCCGCACAAGCGGAGGAGCAUGUGGUUUAAUUCGAUGAUACGCGAGGAACCUUACCUGGGCUCGAACGUAAGAUGACUGUAGGUGAAAGCUUACAUCUCUUCGGAGCAUUUUACGAGGUGCUGCAUGGUUGUCGUCAGCUCGUGCCGUGAGGUGUCGGGUUAAGUCCCAUAACGAGCGCAACCCCUACCUUUAGUUGCCAUCAGGUUAAGCUGGGGACUCUAAAGGAACUGCCUACGCAAGUAGUGAGGAAGGCGGGGAUGACGUCAAAUCAGCACGGCCCUUACGUCCAGGGCUACACACGUGCUACAAUGGCCGAUACAGAGGGCAGCUACCUGGUGACAGGAUGCAAAUCUCCAAAGUCGGUCUCAGUUCGGAUCGGAGUCUGCAACCCGACUCCGUGAAGUUGGAUUCGCUAGUAAUCGCGCAUCAGCCAUGGCGCGGUGAAUACGUUCCCGGGCCUU